GUUCUUUGUCAACAUAGAAAUCAACAUAUGGAAUUUUAUUACUCUAUUGCAUAUCUAUCACUUAUCCUGUUAAUGUGGAAAAAUAAUAGAUUAGAAGAUCAUCAUUAUUGUCCUCAAUUCAUUUUUUACAUACGGAGACAGGGAAAAGGAAGAACAAUAUAAAACAAUAUAACAGGCUUUUGUAUUCAACUAGAAAGCCACUCAUCCUGAGAACCAUGUUGACAUAAAAUUCCAUCAAAGAAGAGCGCAUAUUUAAAGUCAGUUGAUGAUACUCACCUUUUGGCAGGUCCACUCUAACCAGCCUCACUCUCUGACCAGCAGAA
rnacentral:lncRNA from 1 species